UACGAAGGGGGCUAGCGUUGCUCGGAAUUACUGGGCGUAAAGGGCGCGUAGGCGGAUAGUUUAGUCAGAGGUAAAAGCCCAGGGCUCAACCUUGGAACUGCCUUUGAUACUGGCUAUCUUGAGUUCGGGAGAGGUGAGUGGAAUGCCGAGUGUAGAGGUGAAAUUCGUAGAUAUUCGGCGGAACACCAGUGGCGAAGGCGACUCACUGGCCCGAUACUGACGCUGAGGAGCGAAAGCGUGGGGAGCAAACAGG
rnacentral:rRNA from 1 species